rnacentral:rRNA from 1 species
AGAGUUUGAUCCUGGCUCAGGACGAACGCUGGCGGCGUGCCUAAUACAUGCAAGUAGAACGCUGAAGAGAGGAGCUUGCUCUUCUUGGAUGAGUUGCGAACGGGUGAGUAACGCGUAGGUAACCUGCCUUGUAGCGGGGGAUAACUAUUGGAAACGAUAGCUAAUACCGCAUAACAAUGGAUGACUCAUGUCAUUUAUUUGAAAGGGGCAAUUGCUCCACUACAAGAUGGACCUGCGUUGUAUUAGCUAGUAGGUGAGGUAACGGCUCACCUAGGCGACGAUACAUAGCCGACCUGAGAGGGUGAUCGGCCACACUGGGACUGAGACACGGCCCAGACUCCUACGGGAGGCAGCAGUAGGGAAUCUUCGGCAAUGGGGGCAACCCUGACCGAGCAACGCCGCGUGAGUGAAGAAGGUUUUCGGAUCGUAAAGCUCUGUUGUAAGUCAAGAACGAGUGUGAGAGUGGAAAGUUCACACUGUGACGGUAGCUUACCAGAAAGGGACGGCUAACUACGUGCCAGCAGCCGCGGUAAUACGUAGGUCCCGAGCGUUGUCCGGAUUUAUUGGGCGUAAAGCGAGCGCAGGCGGUUUGAUAAGUCUGAAGUUAAAGGCUGUGGCUCAACCAUAGUUCGCUUUGGAAACUGUCAAACUUGAGUGCAGAAGGGGAGAGUGGAAUUCCAUGUGUAGCGGUGAAAUGCGUAGAUAUAUGGAGGAACACCAGUGGCGAAGGCGACGAUCUGGCCUGCAACUGACGCUCAGUCCCGAAAGCGUGGGGAGCAAAUAGGAUUAGAUACCCUAGUAGUCCACGCCGUAAACGAUGAGUACUAAGUGUUGGAUGUCAAAGUUCAGUGCUGCAGUUAACGCAAUAAGUACUCCGCCUGAGUAGUACGUUCGCAAGAAUGAAACUCAAAGGAAUUGACGGGGGCCCGCACAAGCGGUGGAGCAUGUGGUUUAA